rnacentral:rRNA from 1 species
AAACCCAGUGUGACUCGUCACACUAUCAUUAACUGAAUCCAUAGGUUAAUGAGGCGAACCGGGGGAACUGAAACAUCUAAGUACCCCGAGGAAAAGAAAUCAACCGAGAUUCCCCCAGUAGCGGCGAGCGAACGGGGAGGAGCCCAGAGCCUGAAUCAGCAUGUGUGUUAGUGGAAGCGUCUGGAAAGGCGCGCGAUACAGGGUGACAGCCCCGUACACAAAAGCGCAUGUGCUGUGAGCUCGAUGAGUAGGGCGGGACACGUGGUAUCCUGUCUGAAUAUGGGGGGACCAUCCUCCAAGGCUAAAUACUCCUGACUGACCGAUAGUGAACCAGUACCGUGAGGGAAAGGCGAAAAGAACCCCGGCGAGGGGAGUGAAAAAGAACCUGAAACCGU